rnacentral:rRNA from 1 species
UCAUGGCUCAGAUUGAACGCUGGCGGCAGGCCUAACACAUGCAAGUCGAACGGUAACAGGAAGCAGCUUGCUGCUUCGCUGACGAGUGGCGGACGGGUGAGUAAUGUCUGGGAAACUGCCUGAUGGAGGGGGAUAACUACUGGAAACGGUAGCUAAUACCGCAUAACGUCGCAAGACCAAAGAGGGGGACCUUCGGGCCUCUUGCCAUCGGAUGUGCCCAGAUGGGAUUAGCUAGUAGGUGAGGUAACGGCUCACCUAGGCGACGAUCCCUAGCUGGUCUGAGAGGAUGACCAGCCACACUGGAACUGAGACACGGUCCAGACUCCUACGGGAGGCAGCAGUGGGGAAUAUUGCACAAUGGGCGCAAGCCUGAUGCAGCCAUGCCGCGUGUAUGAAGAAGGCCUUCGGGUUGUAAAGUACUUUCAGCGGGGAGGAAGGCGACAGGGUUAAUAACCCUGUCGAUUGACGUUACCCGCAGAAGAAGCACCGGCUAACUCCGUGCCAGCAGCCGCGGUAAUACGGAGGGUGCAAGCGUUAAUCGGAAUUACUGGGCGUAAAGCGCACGCAGGCGGUCUGUCAAGUCGGAUGUGAAAUCCCCGGGCUCAACCUGGGAACUGCAUUCGAAACUGGCAGGCUAGAGUCUUGUAGAGGGGGGUAGAAUUCCAGGUGUAGCGGUGAAAUGCGUAGAGAUCUGGAGGAAUACCGGUGGCGAAGGCGGCCCCCUGGACAAAGACUGACGCUCAGGUGCGAAAGC